rnacentral:rRNA from 1 species
AUUCCAGCUCCAAUAGCGUAUAUUAAUGUUGUUGUGGUUAAAAAGCUCGUAGUUGGAUAUCGAUCGCUCGCGAAUGGUUUCAUGCGAAUGAAACUAUUCAAACAGCUGUUAAUUGGGAGAGGCUUAUCUUUGGCUUAAAUGCUAUGGAUAUAUAGCUUAUCUCCAGUAUUACUUUGAAUAAAUCAGAGUUCUUCAGACAGGCGCGAUGCUUGUAUAUUGGUGCAUGGAAUAACAGAAUAAGAUUUUCAUUUCGUUCUGUUGGUUAAUGAGGCGGAAAUAAUGAUUAAUCGGGACAGCCGGGUGCAUAGGUAUUCAUAAGCGAGAGGUGAAAUUCGGUGACCUUAUGAAGACCACCUAUUGCGAAGGCAUUUGCAAAGAAUGUUUUCAUUG